rnacentral:tRNA from 1 species
GGAUCCGUAACCUAGCCUGGAUUGGGUGCCGGACUUCUAAUCCGGAUAUCGAGGGUUCAAAUCCCUCCGGAUCCA